CCCUAAAUAUAUGCUAAGUGGAAAACGUUGUGAAGGUGCAUAGACAACUAGGAGGUUGGCUCAGAAGCAGCCACCCUUUAAAGAGUGCGUAAUAGCUCACUAGUCGAGUGCUCUUGCGCGGAUAAUGUACCGGGGCUAAGCAUAUUACCGAAACUGUGGAUGCGUAAGCAUGGUAGGAUAGCGUAAUUAACGCGAUGAAGGAUGACCGUAAGGACAUGUUGGAGCGUUAACUAGUGAGAAUUCCGGUAUGAGUAGCGAAAGAUAGGUGAGAAUCCUAUCCACCGAAUGAGUAAGGUUUCCCCCGGAAGGCUCGUCCGCGGGGGGUUAGUCGGGACCUAAGGCGAGGCUGAAAAGCGUAGUCGAUGGACAACAGGUUGAUAUUCCUGUACCGAUAUUUAAUUGCCGAAGGAAGGACGCAGAAGGAUAACACAGGCCACUAUUGGAUGUGGUUUUAAACAGUUAGUCUUCAUAAGAGUCAAAUGCUUUUAUGUUUAAGGAUAAGCUGUGAAUGUACCAAGUUUACUUGGAAAUUGUGUGAUUUCACGCUGCUGAAAAAAGUUUCGUAGGAAGAAAAUAUUGCCCGUACCGCAAACCGACACAGGUACUCAAGUGGAGAACACUAAGGUGAGCGAGUGAACUAUUGUUAAGGAACUCUGCAAAAUGAGUCCGUAACUUCGGAAGAAGGACUGCUGGUUUUAUACCAGCCGCAGCAAAUAGGCCCAAACAACUGUUUAUCAAAAACACAGGUUUCUGCAAAAUCGUAAGAUGAAGUAUAGGGGCUGACGCCUGCCCAGUGCUGGAAGGUUAAAAGGAGGACUUAGCUUCGGCGAAGGUCUUAAUUGAAGCCCCAGUGAACGGCGGCCGUAACUAUAACGGUCCUAAGGUAGCGAAAUUCCUUGUCGGGUAAGUUCCGACCCGCAUGAAAGGCGUAAUGAUUUGGGCGCUGUCUCAACAAUAGACUCGGUGAAAUUUAAAUUCCAGUGAAGAUGCUGGGUACCCGCGACAGGACGGAAAGACCCCGUGGAGCUUUACUGUAGCUUGAUAUUGAAUGUUUGUGCUGCAUGUGCAGGAUAGGUAGGAGACUUUGAAGUCGGAACGCUAGUUUCGAUUGAGUCACCCUUGAGAUACUACCUCUGUUGUAUGAACGUUCUAACUCUGAUCAGUUAUCCUGAUCGAAGACAGUGUCUGGCAGGCAGUUUGACUGGGGCGGUCGCCUCCUAAAAGAUAACGGAGGCGCUCAAAGGUUUGCUCAGAAUGGUUGGAAAUCAUUCGUAGCGUGUAAAGGCAUAAGCAAGCUUGACUGUGAGACUGACAAGUCGAGCAGGUACGAAAGUAGGACUUAGUGAUCCGGUGG
rnacentral:rRNA from 1 species